rnacentral:rRNA from 1 species
UCCUACGGGAGGCAGCAGUGGGGAAUAUUGCACAAUGGGGGGAACCCUGAUGCAGCAAUGCCGCGUGAAGGAUGAAGGUUUUCGGAUUGUACCCUUCUUUUGUACGGGACGAAGAACGUGACGGUACCGUACGACUACGCCACGGCUAACUACGUUCCCUCAGCCGCGGUCCUCCGUAGGUGGCCAGCGUUCUCCGGCUUUACUGGUUGUACAGGGCGCGUAUGCGGGAUUGCAAGUCCUCUGUUACACCUAUGUGCUCACCCGCU